GGGCACAUGGUGUAGUUGGUCAUCACGCCCGCUUAGCAUAAACGGCUAGCUCUCGUCUGCGGGCGGUCCCCGGUUCAGUUCCGGGUGUGUCCA